AUUGAACGCUGGCGGCAUGCCCUACACAUGCAAGUCGAACGGUAACAGGUCUUCGGAUACUGACGAGCGGCGAACGGGUGAGUAGUACAUCGGAACGUGCCUAGUAGUGGGGGAUAACUACUCGAAAGAGUGGCUAAUACCGCAUGAGAUCUACGGAUGAAAGCAGGGGAUCGCAAGACCUUGUGCUACUAGAGCGGCCGAUGGCAGAUUAGGUAGUUGGUGGGAUAAAAGCUUACCAAGCCGACGAUCUGUAGCUGGUCUGAGAGGACGAUCAGCCACACUGGGACUGAGACACGGCCCAGACUCCUACGGGAGGCAGCAGUGGGGAAUUUUGGACAAUGGGCGAAAGCCUGAUCCAGCAAUGCCGCGUGCAGGAUGAAGGCCUUCGGGUUGUAAACUGCUUUUGUACGGAACGAAAAGCCCCGGGUUAAUACCCUGGGGUCAUGACGGUACCGUAAGAAUAAGCACCGGCUAACUACGUGCCAGCAGCCGCAGUAA
rnacentral:rRNA from 1 species